CACAGAGGAGGCGAGCGUUAUUCCGCGUUAUUCGGCGUAAAGGACUUGUAGGCGGUUUAGGUAAUCGGUAAUCAUGAAUGUCGCGAUGCUUAUUGCUAUCAAAAUCGCGCGCUUUACUGAAAUUACUAAACUUGAAUUAACCAUAGGUGCGGGGAAUACGAAGAUUCAGCAUAAUAAGCUAACACUCGGCGGGGAACGCCGGUGAUGAAGAUACCAAUCCGGGGUUAAUUGACGCUGAGGGGUGAAGGCGCGGGGAUCCAACGGG
rnacentral:rRNA from 1 species